rnacentral:tRNA from 1 species
GUGGAGCAGUCUGGUAGCUCGUCGGGCUCAUAACCCGAAGGUCGUUGGUUCAAAUCCUUCC